GAGAGGGAGAUUUUGGGUCUGCAGGGAAAGGUUCAAGAUUGGGUUCGAAAGAAGGGGAAAGAAGGAGGGAAAGAAAGAAAGGGAGAUUUGGGGUCUACGGGGAAAAGAGGGUUCAAGAUUGGGUUCGAAAGAAGGGGAAAGAAGGAGGCAGAUUUAUCACAACUCAUAAAUAAAGAGGGAAAGAAAUAGGGAGGGUUCAGGUUUAGGGAGAGAAAGACCGAGUGAGGGAAAGGGAGAGAGAGGACGAUAUGAGCGAGAGGGAGAGAGAGGGUGAUUCACCUGCGUGAGAGGAUGAGGGAGACGGAGUGAGAAGAGAGAGUUCAGUGAG
rnacentral:lncRNA from 1 species